AUUUUUUUGAUUACACAGUGAUGUGCCCCACAGAUCUCCCUCACUGUGAGGCAAUCACUUCAUUUAUCCAAGUUCUACAAAGCCUUUAUUAUUUCGGUUAGUUCAUAUUUUUGAAGCUAAGUCAUCAGUUUGAUGCGUUUGUUGUAAAAUGUGGUUUAACAGCUUGUUAGCACAUUUAUUUUUUUUUUAAUGGAAUCCAAAGGUAUUUCAUGCUUGAGCAGCAGUGGAUUUAAGAGCCGAUGAAAAGCCCCGCGAGCUGGGCGCAGUCAGCACAAAACAAUGCGGGGAACAUUGUGGAGUCCUACGCAGAGCUACCCCCAGCAGUGGCGUGCGGGUUUCUUGAACUUUAAGUUACGUUUUUUGCUUUUCUUUUUCCCUGACAGUGUCUCAUAAAUAACCCAUGUUGCCUUAUGCGUGUUGGUUUCAGAUUGUCUAGGAUGUACUGGAUCAUUUGAGCAGUCUGCGUUCAUGUGGUUUUUCUCCCCUCUGAAGAUGAUUCGAUUCUGUUUUGUCCACAAAGGGGAGACGUGGAUUGCUGUUUUCUGUCCUCCAAGUGUGGCUUUGUAAAGCUGUCUCAGAACUAACGGGUUGGAACUGAAAACUAUUAUGGAGCUUGGUGAAUGUCAGCGAGCCUUUGAAAAGUAAAAGCUGGGAAGCGACAAACUCUUUCCACAGUUCCAUCCCAAAUACAAACGAGGUCAUUUUCUUGGGAGGCAGCAAAAGUGAGCAUUCUGUGUUUGACCAAAGACAACCUUUUGGUUGAGGUUUUGAUUAUCCAGGGAUGAAAUGGAGGCAAAUGGUCUUCUUUGCCUAAAUCCAGACCUACCUUUGUACCAGGCUAGGUAUUUGUUGGAUUGAAAGGAGUGCAGCCCUUGGAGAGCAGUUUCAUGGAACUGGAAUUGAUGUGAUGACUAGAACUACAGUGAAAAUGUGAUGGUUAUGGUCAUGUGAUGUUGAUGGAAGCCAGUGUUAAGUAUGGUGAAGCUGAGAGAUCGACAAACAAAUAAGCAAAAAUCCUUGGGUUUCUGAAAAUCAUUGCUUGAUGUACCCCUGGGUUUAUUUUACAUGACAGAGAAAUAAACCUGCAUCUUGUUUAAGC
rnacentral:lncRNA from 10 species